rnacentral:lncRNA from 1 species
UGGUGUAAUGUACCGAAUUUUUAAUAUAGAAGUAAGUAUAAAUAAAAAUAGUGUAAGAUAUUGUUUUUAUCGGACUUAAAGAAGUAAAAUAUAAGUCGGAAAUGACUUGUGCUGAAAUUGGAAUGAAAACAGAAGAUUUAGAAUUUUCUGUAAGAAACAGGGCUGAUAUUUUAACAGAAAAUUCAAUGUCAGAAAAUUAUGAAAAUUGGAGAAUAUGUCGAAAUUAUUUUUAUGAGGUGAGAUUUAAAGUUUCAUAUCAUUCCGACACCCGAAAAGUAAAAAAUAAAAUCUGACUGCUAUCUGCUAGAGAUUUUAGUCGGUAGAGCUUUCGGUGACCAAAAAUGGUCCAAACUGAAAAGUUAAGAUUUCGUUCUUC